CAAUAGCGUAUAUUAAAGUUGUUGCGGUUAAAAAGCUCGUAGUUGGAUUUCUGUUGAGGAUGGGCGGUCCGCACAUCGUGCGUGUAUCUGUUACAGCCUCGGCAUCCUCUUGAAGAACGAACUGUGAUUUAUUUCGUGGUUCGGAAUUCAAGACUUUUACUUUGAGGAAAUUAGAGUGUUCAAAGCAGGCAAUCGCUUGAAUACAUUAGCAUGGAAUAAUAGAAUAGGACUUUGGUUCUAUUUUGUUGGUUUCUAGGACCGAAGUAAUGAUUAAUAGGGACAGUUGGGGGCAUUAGUAUUUAAUUGUCAGAGGUGAAAUUCUUGGAUUUAUGAAAGACUAACUACUGCGAAAGCAUUUGCCAAGGAUGUUUUCAUUAAUCAAGAACGAAAGUUAGGGAUCGAAGACGAUUAGAUACCAU
rnacentral:rRNA from 1 species